UACAGAGGGUGCAAGCGUUAAUCGGAAUUACUGGGCGUAAAGCGCGCGUAGGCGGCUGAUUAAGUCGGAUGUGAAAUCCCUGGGCUCAACCUAGGAACUGCAUUCGAUACUGAUCGGCUAGAGUAUGAGAGAGGGAGGUAGAAUUCCACGUGUAGCGGUGAAAUGCGUAGAUAUGUGGAGGAAUACCGGUGGCGAAGGCGGCCUCCUGGCUUAAUACUGACGCUGAGGUGCGAAAGCGUGGGGAGCAAACAGG
rnacentral:rRNA from 1 species